AGAGUUUGAUCAUGGCUCAGAUUGAACGCUGGCGGCAGGCCUAACACAUGCAAGUCGAACGGUAACAGGAAGCAGCUUGCUGCUUUGCUGACGAGUGGCGGACGGGUGAGUAAUGUCUGGGAAACUGCCUGAUGGAGGGGGAUAACUACUGGAAACGGUGGCUAAUACCGCAUAACGUCGCAAGACCAAAGAGGGGGACCUUCGGGCCUCUUGCCAUCAGAUGUGCCCAGAUGGGAUUAGCUUGUUGGUGAGGUAACGGCUCACCAAGGCGACGAUCCCUAGCUGGUCUGAGAGGAUGACCAGCCACACUGGAACUGAGACACGGUCCAGACUCCUACGGGAGGCAGCAGUGGGGAAUAUUGCACAAUGGGCGCAAGCCUGAUGCAGCCAUGCCGCGUGUAUGAAGAAGGCCUUCGGGUUGUAAAGUACUUUCAGCGGGGAGGAAGGUGUUGCGGUUAAUAACCGCAGCAAUUGACGUUACCCGCAGAAGAAGCACCGGCUAACUCCGUGCCAGCAGCCGCGGUAAUACGGAGGGUGCAAGCGUUAAUCGGAAUUACUGGGCGUAAAGCGCACGCAGGCGGUCUGUCAAGUCGGAUGUGAAAUCCCCGGGCUCAACCUGGGAACUGCAUUCGAAACUGGCAGGCUUGAGUCUUGUAGAGGGGGGUAGAAUUCCAGGUGUAGCGGUGAAAUGCGUAGAGAUCUGGAGGAAUACCGGUGGCGAAGGCGGCCCCCUGGACAAAGACUGACGCUCAGGUGCGAAAGCGUGGGGAGCAAACAGGAUUAGAUACCCUGGUAGUCCACGCCGUAAACGAUGUCUACUUGGAGGUUGUGCCCUUGAGGCGUGGCUUCCGGAGCUAACGCGUUAAGUAGACCGCCUGGGGAGUACGGCCGCAAGGUUAAAACUCAAAUGAAUUGACGGGGGCCCGCACAAGCGGUGGAGCAUGUGGUUUAAUUCGAUGCAACGCGAAGAACCUUACCUGGUCUUGACAUCCACAGAACUUUCCAGAGAUGGACUGGUGCCUUCGGGAACUGUGAGACAGGUGCUGCAUGGCUGUCGUCAGCUCGUGUUGUGAAAUGUUGGGUUAAGUCCCGCAACGAGCGCAACCCUUAUCCUUUGUUGCCAGCGAUUAGGUCGGGAACUCAAAGGAGACUGCCAGUGAUAAACUGGAGGAAGGUGGGGAUGACGUCAAGUCAUCAUGGCCCUUACGACCAGGGCUACACACGUGCUACAAUGGCGCAUACAAAGAGAAGCGACCUCGCGAGAGCAAGCGGACCUCAUAAAGUGCGUCGUAGUCCGGAUUGGAGUCUGCAACUCGACUCCAUGAAGUCGGAAUCGCUAGUAAUCGUGGAUCAGAAUGCCACGGUGAAUACGUUCCCGGGCCUUGUACACACCGCCCGUCACACCAUGGGAGUGGGUUGCAAAAGAAGUAGGUAGCUUAACCUUCGGGAGGGCGCUUACCACUUUGUGAUUCAUGACUGGGGUGAAGUCGUAACAAGGUAACCGUAGGGGAACCUGCGGUUGGAUCACCU
rnacentral:rRNA from 1 species